UACAGAGGUCUCGAGCGUUGUUCGGAUUUAUUGGGUGUAAAGGGUGCGUAGGCGGUGUGGCAAGUCAAGUGUGAAAUCUCGGAGCUCAACUUCGAAACUGCACUUGAUACUACUAUGCUAGAGGGUUGUAGAGGAGACCGGAAUUCACGGUGUAGCAGUGAAAUGCGUAGAUAUCGUGAGGAAGACCAGUUGCGAAAGCGGGUCUCUGGGCAAUUCCUGACGCUGAGGCACGAAGGCUAGGGGAGCAAACGGG
rnacentral:rRNA from 1 species